GGGUGGUAAUGCCGCAUGCUCCNCUCUGCUGCAUGGUGNGGUGGGAAAGGUUUUUCCGGUAUGGGAUGGGGUCGCGUCCUAUCAGGUAGUCGGCGGGGUGAUGGCCCACCGAGCCUAUGACGGGUAGCCGGCCUGAGAGGGCGACCGGCCACAUUGGGACUGAGAUACGGCCCAGACUCCUACGGGAGGCAGCAGUGGGGAAUAUUGCACAAUGGGCGCAAGCCUGAUGCAGCGACGCCGCGUGCGGGAUGGAGGCCUUCGGGUUGUAAACCGCUUUUAUCGGGGAGCAAGCGAGAGUGAGUGUACCCGUUGAAUAAGCACCGGCUAACUACGUGCCAGCAGCCGCGGUAAUACGUAGGGUGCAAGCGUUAUCCGGAAUUAUUGGGCGUAAAGAGCUCGUAGGCGGUUCGUCGCGUCUGGUGUGAAAGCCCAUCGCUUAACGGUGGGUCUGCGCCGGGUACGGGCGGGCUGGAGUGCGGUAGGGGAGACUGGAAUUC
rnacentral:rRNA from 1 species